GGAAUUCAGCUAUAGCUCUAAACUAAUCUUUGGAGCUGAAACCAAACUCAGAAAUCCACCAUAUAC